AAGUAGCAAGAGGUGGGGUUCCAAAGGGUAAGUGCCGUUGAAAAAUAAUGAAGCACCAGUACCUAUGAGUUAAUGAAAACAGUUACAUAGCUUGAAACAGCAAUAAUAAAGGUAUAGAGAAGGAAGGAUUACUAAUACUGGUGUACAAUUAAUGUCUGGCAAGAAAAUAUGUAAUCUCAAAAUAAAUCCGUUAUCUAAUUAAGAUAGAAGAGUCUUAACUUCUGAAUUCUUGAAAACAGGGAGCCUCUGGGAAAAGAAUUCAGAAAUGUUGAAUUAAGCAAAUUUCUGAUGCUUAUUCUCAGAUGUACAUUUUUUGCAUUUGCAUUUUUUGCAGGUGCAUUUUUUGAGGAAAAGCUUUGUAAACUUUCAUCUAGCCAUUUCUGAUAAAUGAGUGUGAUUUUUUUCACAAACCUUUUUUGUAUAUUUUUACUCGUCUUCAUAUGACUAAACAGCUUCUUUUUAAAUGUUAAACUGGCAUGGAUUUACUGCUCAGUUAAAAAAAAGUUAAGUUGUCUGAAACACUGUGCCUGUUCCUGAAUCCCCCUAUGAAUUAUUGUUAGGGGGGUCUAGUUAAAUUGCAGAGAAAUCACACAUUUUUCACAAGUUGAUCAUAUAUAGCAAAUUUUGCAGAUGUGUAAUACAUCUGUGAAAUUUGCUAUUUAUGCUGUGAUCAACCCAUGAAAAAUGUAUGAUUUCUCCACAGCGUUUCUCAAACUGCGGGCCCUGACCCAAAAGGGGGUCACAGGCCUGUUAGGGGUUGCAUUACUGCCAUCCUUACUUCUCCGCUGCUGCUGGGGGCAGCAUUGUCUAAAGCUGGGAAACGGGAGAGCAGUGGCUGCAUGGUAUUGCCACCCUUACUUCUGUGCUGCUGCUGAUAGCGGGUGCUGCUUUCAGAGCUGGGCAUCUGGUCAGCAGCCGCCGCUCUCACCAGAUUUCACAGUCUGUGACGUGAUUUUUUUUAUUGCCCCAGACAGGUCACAUGUACUUCUUUAUGUAUAUGUGGGAGUGGAGGUAAAACCAAUAAAGGAGCCACAGCCUCCAGGGCUUUGAAGCUUUGCUGGUUUGCAGG